rnacentral:rRNA from 1 species
AGAGCGAACGCUGGCGGCAUGCUUAACACAUGCAAGUCGCACGGUCAGCAAUGGCAGUGGCGGACGGGUGAGUAACGCGUAGGAAUCUAUCCAGAGGUGGGGGACAACAGUGGGAAACUACUGCUAAUACCGCAUGUUACCUGAGGGUUAAAGGCGCAAGUCGCCUUUGGAGGAGCCUGCGUCUGAUUAGCUUGUUGGUGGGGUAAAGGCCUACCAAGGCGACGAUCAGUAGCUGGUCUGAGAGGAUGAUCAGCCACAUUGGGACUGAGACACGGCCCAAACUCCUACGGGAGGCAGCAGUGGGGAAUAUUGGACAAUGGGCGCAAGCCUGAUCCAGCAAUGCCGCGUGUGUGAAGAAGGUCUUCGGAUUGUAAAGCACUUUUGGCAGGGACGAUGAUGACGGUACCUGCAGAAUAAGCCCGGCUAAACUUCGUGCCAGCAGCCGCGGUAA